rnacentral:rRNA from 1 species
UACGAAGGACCCGAGCGUUAUCCGGAUUUAUUGGGUUUAAAGGGUGCGUAGGCGGGCAGGUAAGUCAGUGGUGAAAUCUCCGGGCUUAACCCGGAAACUGCCGUUGAUACUAUCUGUCUUGAAUAUCGUGGAGGUAAGCGGAAUAUGUCAUGUAGCGGUGAAAUGCUUAGAUAUGACAUAGAACACCCAUUGCGAAGGCAGCUUACUACACGAUCAUUGACGCUGAGGCACGAAAGCGUGGGGAGCAAACAGG